rnacentral:sRNA from 1 species
GCCAGGCAUGGUGGUGCAUGCCUGUAAUGCCAGUGACUCGGGAGGCUGAGGCAGGAGGAUUGCAAGCUGGAAACUAGACUAGGCAACUUAGCGAGACCCUGUCUCAA